CUAUUUUGUGGCUAUCAACGACGAUCGGAAAUCUGACAUCCACCAUGCGAGCCGAAACCUAUACUCGUCUGGGGCACAGUGCCCCAGCGAGUAAUUAAAUUAUCUAAGAUCGCGUAACUGCCAACUCGCAAUUUACCAUUUCGACCCACUCACUGAAAGGAUUGAAAUAUCUCCUAAACAUGAGAUAUUAUUUUCAGUUGAUCUCAACCUAUAUUUCCCCCAAACUCCCCACCAUUCAUUAAUGUUACUUAAUAUUUAUUUUAGGUUUUUAUUAACUUUGCGAAACAACAAACAGACGGAAUUGAACCAAUACCACCAUCCUCGGAGCCACACAGUCCAACAAUUGAACAGCCUCCGAUAGUUGAGGUAUAACACAUGAGCUGUAAUAUAUACAUGACGGUCGGAUAUUGCCCGUUCUUAAAAUGAAAGAAUUUUAUGUAAACAUAUAAAUAUAGAACGUUUGUAAUAUGUAGAAUGUUUUGUACAGUUUGGUGCGUGAAUAUAGAUAAUUUUGAGUGGAAGUAAUAUACGAUGUAGAAAUUUUGAUAAGAAAGAUGAUCAUGUUAUUAGACAAUUUUAGUAGAAAUUUUAGACUAAAUUAUUUUAAAAUGAUUAAUAUAUCUGUAACCUUGUGUGGAUUAUUAUGUAAUAUCAUGUCAAGUUUGUGAAACUUAUCAGUCUGCACACCAUGCUUUUGUCGUCGAGAUUUGAACGCCAAUAGCGUACACUUCCCAAGUUGCUCGUUAGAAUGAAAACUACUUACAAUGGAUUAACAUUGUCCACCUCGAUUUCAAGCUAGUUUUUCAUGUGCACGUGAGCAAAUUGGGGAAGGAUCUGUUGGGUCGUGAGGUAAAAUGAGUAAUGGCUAAGGGCCUGUUCAUAUGAUCCCGCUUACCGGGACGUCCCUCUUACCGAUGAUCUCGGCGCCUAGUUAUUUUCCUGUACAAUUUUGCAUUGUGUUGGAGUGGCCGAAAUCUCGCUUGAAUUUGCCGAGAUCAUAGGUAGGCGGGAUGAAACAUUUUCCAUAUGAACACGCCAUCCAGGUUAUCGGGAUGAAGUCAAACAAGUCUUGCCGUUUAAUUUAACACGUUUUACUUAGUUUUAUUUUUUGUUUUGUAAACAAGUGUUAAAUAUGCAGCUAAAGCAAUACUUUUUCUUGUAAAUAAAUGAAGAAAAACACUAAAAUCGCUAAAUCUUUGUGUUGCUUGACUGAAAU